UACGGAGGGUGCAAGCGUUAUCCGGAUUCACUGGGUUUAAAGGGUGCGUAGGCGGAUAGGUAAGUCCGUGGUGAAAUCCUGCAGCUUAACUGCAGAACUGCCGUGGAUACUAUCUAUCUUGAAUGUCGUGGAGGUUAGCGGAAUAUGUCAUGUAGCGGUGAAAUGCUUAGAUAUGAUAUAGAACACCAAUUGCGAAGGCAGGUGACUAAGCCGUAACUGACGCUGAUGCACGAAAGCGUGGGGAUCAAACAGG
rnacentral:rRNA from 1 species